rnacentral:rRNA from 1 species
UACGGAGGAUGCAAGCGUUAUCCGGAUUUAUUGGGCUUAAAGGGUGCGUAGGCGGCUUAUUAAGUCAGGGGUGAAAGACGGUGGCUCAACCAUCGCAGUGCCCUUGAUACUGAUGAGCUUGAAUACACGAGAGGUAGGCGGAAUGUGACAAGUAGCGGUGAAAUGCAUAGAUAUGUCGCAGAACACCGAUUGCGAAGGCAGCUUACUGUGGUGUCAUUGACGCUGAGGCACGAAAGCGUGGGGAUCAAACAGG